AAACUGUCCCCAGCCUUCACACUUUUUUAGUACCCAGUAGAUUUGUCCUGCAACAACAGGGUGCCUGGCACAAGGAGAUACUCAGUAAAACUCUCAUCUGCUGUGUCAUUAAGGGGAACACUUAAUGGCUCACGCCUGUAAUCCCAGCACUUUGGGAGGCCGAGGCGGGAGGAUCAUCUGAGCCCAGGAGUUGGAGACCAGCUUGGGCAACAGAGUGAGACCCUGUCUCAACAAAGAAGAAGAAGAAAAAGGCCAGGCGCCGUGGCUUAUGUCUGUAAUCCCAGCACUUUGGGAGGCCAAGAAGGGAGAACUGCUUGAGGCCAGGAGUUCGAGACCAGCCUGGUCAACAUAGCGAGACACACCCCCCCAUCUCAAAAAUAAAUAAAUCAAAAUAAAAAAUAAAGAGGAGGCCGG
rnacentral:lncRNA from 1 species